GACGAACGCUGGCGGCGUGCUUAACACAUGCAAGUCGAACGAAGUGGCGAACGGGUGAGUAACGCGUAAUCCACCUGCCCUUCAGAGGGGGACAACAGUUGGAAACGACUGCUAAUACCGCAUACUUAAGGAGGGGAUUGCGUCUGUUUAGCUCGUUGGAGGGGGAACGGCCCACCAAGGCGAUGAGCAGUAGCCGGGCUGCGAGGAUGAACGGCCACAUUGGGACUGAGACACGGCCCAGACGCCUACGGGAGGCAGCAGUGGGGAAUCUUCCGAAAUGGACGAAAGUCUGACGGAGCAACGCCGCGGGAGUGAGGACGGCCUUCGGGUUGUAAAGCUCUGUUAAUCGGGACGCGGUACCGGAAUAGAAAGCCACGGCUAACUACGUGCCAGCAGCCGCGGUAAUUC
rnacentral:rRNA from 1 species